AUGCGGGGCGCGCGUGGCGUCGGAGUGGCCGCGGCGCGUCAUCUCCUCGCCGCGGUGGUGCUGUGGGCCGCGUUUUCCUCCGCCGCGUCGUUCACUGAUCCCUCCGACGCGAUCGGGAUCUGGGCACUAUAUCGCGCACUGGAGUCACCAUGGCAGCUUUCUGGGUGGACAUCCAUGGGUGGUGACCCCUGCGGUGGGGACGGGGAACGUGGAUCGUGGCAUGGGGUCUUUUGCAAGGACUCGUGUGUCGUGGCUAUAAAUAUUAGUGGGCUUGGGGUUGGUGGCUGGCUUGGCCCAGAGCUGCUCAAACUCCACUCUUUAAAAGAGCUGGAUGUGAGCUUCAACAACAUCGCUGGUGAAAUCCCACCCACUUUGCCUCCAAAUGUGGAAUACCUAAAUUUGGCAGCUAACAAGUUUGAGGGAAAUAUACCACCAUCACUACCAUAUUUGCACUCCCUGAAAUAUCUGAAUCUCAGCUAUAAUAAGCUCUCUGGAAUAGUUGGUGAUGUUUUUGUUAACAUGGAAAGCUUAGUUACAAUGGACUUGUCAUUCAACUCUUUCGAUGGUGACCUGCCACGAUCAUUUAGUUCAUUGAACAACCUUCACUAUCUUUAUUUACAGCAUAAUGAGUUUACCGGAUCUGUGAUUUUGUUAGCAGACCUUCCAUUGGUAGCACUCAACAUUGAGAAUAAUCACUUCAGCGGUUAUGUGCCUGGAACUUUUGAGUUCAUUUCUGAGUUGAGGAUUGAUGGGAACCAUUUUCAACCAGGUUUCAAACCUUCAUCGUCCUCAUUUUCUAGGACCAUUCAUUCACCUCCACCCCCACAUCAUCCUCGACCUCCAUCUCCACCUCCACCUCCACCUUCACCAGCAGUCAAGCAGAACUCAAAACGCGGGCCAAAACCUCUGCAACCUUUUGUGAGCUAUGCUUCUCUGCACAGUCCUAGCCACCAUAGGAAGUCACACUCUCGAGUGACAGCUGCUGCAAUAGCUAGCGUUGUUUGCACAAUGUUUGCACUCUUCAUUGUUGGAUUGGUUCUGAAAAGCCGGAAAGGUGGUACAUGUGGCCCAAAGAGCACCGCUGACAAUAUCAAGUCUUUACCAGCCAAUUUGGAAGGAGUCCCUAAAGCAAAUGAGGUCCUGAACUCUUGGAGUUCUCUUAUGAAUGGCCAUGAUACUUCCUCUAGCAAUAAUGAUAGCAUUAUACCUGGAAGAGUUCCCAAAAGGAAAAGUUGUGCUAAGACAUCUAAAAAUCUUGCACCUGCAAAACAGUUUCUGGCAGUUGACAUUAUGGCGGCUACCCGGAACUUCAAUGAAGAAUGCCUUAUCGGUGAAGGUUUCACUGGCCGAGUUUACAGAGGUGAUUUUCCUGAUGGCCAGCUGCUGGCUAUCAAGAAGAUCAACAUGAUAGAUUUAUCAUUGUCAGAACAAGAUGAGCUCAUGGACAUUCUCGGGAAUAUGUCCAGAUUAAAGCACCCUAAUAUAUCUUCGCUUGUGGGCUACUGUGUGGAGUUUGGGCAUUGUGUGCUUUUAUAUGAGUAUGCAGAAAAUGGUUCUCUUGAAGAUCUUCUGUUUUCAGCAGCCACAAGGUCGAGGGCUUUGUCAUGGAAAGCUCGGAUGAAGAUUGCUCUUGGGGUUACCUAUGCUCUAGAAUACAUACAUUUGAUGUGCUCCCCUCCAUUUGCCCAUGGAAAUAUUAAAGCUACAAAUAUUUUACUUGACGCUCAGCUCAUGCCCUACCUCAGUCACUGUGGGUUAGCGAAGUUCAGCCAUUUUGUCAGCGCCACAAGAAUGGAUUCAGAAGCCCUCAGUGGUGCUAAAGGCUAUGCUGCUCCUGAGGCUAAUGGUUCAGGAACAGAUAUAAUCAAAGCUGAUAUUUACAGUUUUGGCGUGAUAUUGCUUGUGCUUUUGACUGGGCAAAAGGCUUUUGAUAGUUCAAGAGGGCCGAAUGAUCAGUUUCUAGUUGAUUGGGCAUCUCCUCAUCUCCAUGACCUUAAUUCUCUGGGAAGAAUAACGGAUCCAAGAAUACGUGGCUCUAUGCCACCUAAAGCUAUUUCUGCAUUAGGCAACAUCAUCUUGCUUUGCAUCAAGCAGUCACCGGAUUCCCGCCCGCCGAUGAAAGUCAUAACAGACAAAUUAGUAAAGCUUGUCCAGAGCAACACGGUAAAUAAGUUGGAGGCUGAUGCUCAGGACCCCUCUUUCAUAACAACCCGACCAUAUUUUGAGCCAUCCUCCACCGUCAGCCAGGGUGCAACUGAGAGCUGCAUCUCCCAGUGA
rnacentral:rRNA from 1 species